UGCAGUCGAACGGAUCUUCGGGUCUAGUGGCGCAGGGUGCGUAACGCGUGGGAAUCUGCCCUUUGGUUCGGAAUAACUCUUGGAAACUUGAGCUAAUACCGGAUGAGGACUUCGGGGGAAGAUUUAUCGCCAGAGGAUGAGCCCCGCGUCUGAUAGCUAGUUGGUGUGGUAAAGGCGCACCAAGGCGACGAUCCUUAGCUGGUCUGAGAGGAUGAUCAGCCACACUGGGACUGAGACACGGCCCAGACUCCUACGGGAGGCAGCAGUGGGGAAUAUUGGACAAUGGGCGAAAGCCUGAUCCAGCAAUGCCGCGUGAGUGAUGAAGGCCUUAGGGUUGUAAAGCUCUUUUACCCGGGAUGAUAAUGACAGUACCCCGGAGAAUAAGCUCCGGCUAACUCCGUGCCAGCAGCCGCGGUAAUACGGAGGGAGCUAGCGUUGCUCGGAAUUACUGGGCGUAAAGGGCAGCGUAGGCGGCUUGGUAAGUUAGAGGUGAAAGCCUGGAGCUCAACUCCGGAACUGCCUUUGAUACUGCAUCGCUUGAAUCCAGGAGAGGUGAGUGGAAUUCCGAGUGUAGAGGUGAAAUUCGUAGAUAUUCGGAAGAACACCAGUGGCGAAGGCGGCUCACUGGACU
rnacentral:rRNA from 1 species